CAAUAGCGUAUAUUAAAGUUGUUGCGGUAAAAAAGCUCGUAGUUGGAUUUCUACCGAAGAUAGCCGGUCGGGUCUUCGACCUUGUAUCUGGUUUUGUCUUUGGUAUCCUCAUAGGGAACGUUUCUGCGCUUUAUUGCGUGGUGCGGUAUCUAUGACUUUUACGUUGAGGAAAUUAGAGUGUUCACGGCAGGCAAACGCCUUGAAUAUAUUAGCAUGGAAUAAUAACAUAGGAUCUUCGUCCUAUUUUGUUGGUUUCUAGGGCUAAGAUAAUGAUUAAUAGGGAUAAUUGGGGGCAUCUGUAUCAACGCGUCAGAGGUGGAAUUCUUGGAUUGCGUUGCGACAAACUACUGCGAAAGCAUUUGCCAAGGAUGUUUUCAUUGA
rnacentral:rRNA from 1 species